GGAACAGGCUGUUAACAACUUGUAACAAGCUUGAUGGCAUUAUCAGUCUUGUUACAAGGUUGUUCUAACAAGUCUGAUACAGUCAUGAUAUAACAAGAAUGUUACAAGGUUGACGACAUAACCUUGCAACAAGUCUGAUAAUAUCAACAAGGUUGUCGCAAGUUGUUAACAGCUUGUUCC